rnacentral:rRNA from 1 species
GACGAACGCUGGCGGCGUGCUUAACACAUGCAAGUCGAACGGUGAUGCUCCAGCUUGCUGUAGUGGAUCAGUGGCGAGCGGGUGAGUAACACGGGAGCAACCUGGCCCAGGCGGGGUAAUAAGCGCUGGAGACGGCUUCUAAUACUUGAGACGAGACUGGGCCGCAUGGGCAUCGUUUGGAAAGUUUUUCCGUUUUGGAUGGGCGCGCGGCCUAUCAGCUUGUUGGUGAGGUAAUGGCGCACGAAGGCAACGACGGGUAGCCGGCAUGAGAGGUCGACCGGCGACAAUGCGCCUGAGAGACGGCGCAGACUGCAACGGUAGGCAGCAGUGGGGAAUCUUGCCCAACGGGCGCACGCGUGAUGCAGCGACGCCGCGAGAGGGAUGACGGCUUUCGGGUUGUAAACCUCUUUCAGUUGAGAAGAAGCGAAAGUGACGGUACCUGCAGAAGAAGCACCGGCUAACUACGUG